rnacentral:rRNA from 1 species
UGGGGAAUAUUGGACAAUGGGGGCAACCCUGAUCCAGCCAUGCCGCGUGAGUGAUGAAGGCCUUCGGGUUGUAAAGCUCUUUUGGCGGGGACGAUGAUGACGGUACCCGCAGAAUAAGCCCCGGCUAACUUCGUGCCAGCAGCCGCGGUAAGACGAAGGGGGCUAGCGUUGUUCGGAAUUACUGGGCGUAAAGCGCGUGUAGGCGGUUGCCCAAGUCGGGUGUGAAAGCCUUGAGCUCAACUCAAGAAAUGCACUCGGUACUGGGUGACUAGAGGACCGGAGAGGAUAGUGGAAUUCCCAGUGUAGUGGUGAAAUACGUAGAGAUUGGGAAGAACACCAGUGGCGAAGGCGGCUAUCUGGACGGUUUCUGACGCUAAGACGCGAAAGCGUGGGGAGCAAACAGGAUUAGAUACCCUGGUAGUCCACGCCGUAAACGAUGGGUGCUAGACGUUGGCGAGCUUGCUCGUCAGUGUCGCAGCUGACGCGUUAAGCACCCCGCCUGGGGAGUACGGCCGCAAGGUUGC